rnacentral:rRNA from 1 species
AUUGAACGCUGGCGGCAGGCCUAACACAUGCAAGUCGAGCGGAGCGGCGGACGGGUGAGUAAUGCCUAGGAAUCUGCCUGGUAGUGGGGGAUAACGUCCGGAAACGGGCGCUAAUACCGCAUACUAUCAGAUGAGCCUAGGUAGGAUUCGCUAGUUGGUGGGGUAAAGGCCUACCAAGGCGACGAUCCGUAACUGGUCUGAGAGGAUGAUCAGUCACACUGGAACUGGGGCACGGGCCAGCCUCCCACGGGAGUCAGCAGUGGCGAAUAUUCGACAAUGGGCCAAAGCCUGAGCCAGCCACGCGGCGUGGGUGAAGAAGGUCUUCGGAUUGUAAAGCGCGUUAAGUGGCGAGGCGGUACUAACCGAAUAAGCAACGGCUAACUUCGUGCCAGCAGCCGCGGUAAUAC